rnacentral:lncRNA from 1 species
UUUGUUUCAAAUGGUGUAUGUUUACCUAAAAUGAAGAAAGUUUAUUCUUGUAUUUAAGCCUUACUUGUUUUCCAUUUGAAGUGUUUUAAUAAUUGGUUGUUUAAGCCCAUAGGACUCUAUUGUUUUGAGUGAUAAAUUCCUGCUAUAAUGCAUAAAAUGAGUUGUGUGACAGUCAUUUAGAAUUUAUUUUGCCGUUUUAAGUUAAAUUUCUGGUUUACGUUGCUCUUUGUGAGUCAUUCUAAU